rfam:Ruminiclostridium sp. KB18, complete genome.
GGACAGGUCUGCGCGGCGGAGAGCCGUGAACCAUGUCAGGCGGGGAACCGAGCAGCAUUAAGCGGAUGUUUCCGGGCGAUGCAGGUCGCCUGUCCGCU